GCAGCCCUGGUGGCCAGCCCCAAGGCUCCACAUUCCCCCACCACCGCCACCAUUGUCCCUGUCUGGCCCCGCCCCAGCUCUGGCUGCCCGAGCCAGGCCACUGUCUCAAGGCCCUUUAUUUUUAAAAUCCCUGUGGUGUUCCUGCCUGAGCCUAAGGAGCAAUGCCAGCCACAGCGAGCCUGCGGCCUGGGCUUGGGCCCAGAGGCACCGGGCGGGGCAUCCGGCCACCCUGCAGCUGCUGGGCAAUUCUGGGAGGGCUUCGAGGCCAGCUGGCCUGCUGAGCUGCUGAGGAAGUCCUGGAAUGCCCAGACUGCAGGCCCGAGGCACUGGCCCCUGUCCUUUAGUGGAGGCAGAGGGGCCUCCUGACAGGGUAGCAACUGGACUGUGCAUCAAAUCCAGGGGCCUCAAAAUGAGUCCCUGUCUCCCCCACAUCCAACCCAACAAACUGGGACGCGGCAUCCACUGGGAGAAGAAAGGGGGUACAUGUCGGUCCUGUGCAGGAGAUGGCAAGGAGGCACACGCUCUCUGCUGGGGAGCCCAGGGGCCUGCAGAGGAGGUGGUGGAAAGAGACUCCGAUUAGAAUCCAAGCAGCCAGCCUGGUGGGAGCUCCAUCUUCUCCCAGCUGUUUGGCGAGGGGAACCACGGAGCCUCUCUGGAACUUCGGCUGCCCCCCUGUAACGGGAGAUAAUAAAAGGCGUCAGGCAUCGUGGGAAGCUUGGGAAGAUGCAGGAGGAAGAUAGUCACAGUCUCUUCCCUCACGGAGCGGACGGAGCUGGCGGGGAGAUGGUCAGGGUAUGGUAGUCCCGGUAUAGAGCAGGAGCAUAAGUGAACAGUUGCUGUUGGGCUAUGGAGGGGGCUGGAGGGAGUCCACUGAGGUCCGUGGUCUCACAGGGAUCUGAAGGAGCAGAUGGCCUUUACGCUGUGUGGGAAGAGCACUGGAGUGAGAGGGAAUGGCAGGUGCAAAGGCCCCAAGGCAGAGGUACGUGGGUGUGGCCUAAGCAAAGAAGACCAUUGGUCUCUGACUCCUUCAGGGGCUGCAGACCCCUGAGGGGUUUGUCAUGAGAGGAAGAAGGAGCGGCCAAGUGUUAGAGAGACUGACUGUGUACACUCUCUGGGCUGGCCCCGUGUCCCUUCUUCCUCACUCACUUCGUGAGGAAGGCCAGGCCAGUGUGUGAUGUUCCCUUGAUGGACGACGCCGGGUGCUCACUCUGGACCAACUUGUUCCUGCCUUUGAUCCUCCCAGAAGUGUGAGGAAGACAUCUUGCCUGCUGGAAUUCACUUUCUCAGGAAAGUGGUGAGCUCUCUAGAGUCCAAAGGAUGUAUGCGACAGCCAAGCCUCAGCCAUUCUUGCCCCAGGAGGAUGUGGGUACAUGUGGGACUCUUUCUGAUACCUGAGAAUCAGCAGGAGUGAUGACUGGGUGCCCUCAGCAUGUGAGAGGCCACAGACCCAUUUCCCAGAGCGAUGCCCAGUGAUGUGAAGCUGAGGAGGAAGUGGCUCCGUCCCCUCGGCCCUGUGUCCUCACUGGACAAUGGGCUGUGAGGAUGAGAAAGAAUUCAGCCAACCCGCCAGCUCCCAGCACACAGCAGCAGGAUCCGGCCCCUGACCAUCUUCCUCCCAUCACCAGCCUCCGCAGAGGGAGCAGGAAGCCAGGAGCCAGCAAGCCUGGUAGGGGUGGGGGUGGCGCGGGGGACGGAGUGAGGAGCGAGCAGGGGUGUCACUGGCUGAACCAGGGGCAGCAUCCAGAGUGCAAGAGUGCCACUGGGGGAAACUGAGUCAGAACCUUAACUCCGGUGUUAGGCCAAGAGCAGGGAUUUCGACCUGCCUAGAGAUAGGCUUAACUCCAGUUAAGUCUAGUCUACAAAGAUGAGCAAGGGCUGCUCUCACCUUCAGGACAAUGGGGCAAGAAUGUCCACCCAGAAGAUGGCUACACAGCCAGCCGGGAGAGACGGAGUACCUGGAAUCCGCUCUAGAGGUUGGAAGGUUCUGAACCAAUGAGCCAAGGUCCAGAGGAUGGCGCAAGAGCGGACAGGGAGUGAACACUUGAAUCCGGAAGGCCUCCUCUGCCCGGUGUGGUAGCACACACCUUUACUCCUGCCGCUCCAGCGGCAGGUGGGGGGUCUCUGUGAGUUCCAGGCCAGCCUGGUCUACCUAAUGAGUUCCAGGCCAGCCAGGGCUACACGGUGAGAUGCUGUUUCAGCAAACAAAACAAAGACAACUUUCUGGGCCAUCUCCCAGGGCUUGCAGCACAGCCUCAGGUAUGGUAAAUGCCUGUGGAGCUCAACCCAUUUUAAAGAGAAGCCUACACAGGGCACACAGCCAGCCUUGAAUUCUGGGUCUUCGGCACUGAAUCAAAUAGCUUCCUUUCCGAGCUGCUCCAGGAACCCUGACUGAGGGGAAGGGCUGCUCUCCUGCUCACCAGAUCACCUUUGAGGGCGAAAGUAAGUGGUAUCACUAAUCAUACUGGGUCGCUGGUGCUCUUGACAAACGGGAAAUGUGUCAUCCGGUCAGAGGUAGGAGGCCCUGGACAAGCCUCUUCACUUUUCUGCAAAGUGGACCUGGUGACAGAAUUGUUCCCAUACUGCUCUCACGGAGAUUAAACGUGAUUACGCGUGGUAUGCAUUUGGCGUUCAAUAAAG